rnacentral:rRNA from 1 species
GACGAACGCUGGCGGCGUGCCUAACACAUGCAAGUCGAGCGAUGAAACCCUUCGGGGUGGAUUAGCGGCGGACGGGUGAGUAACACGUGGGUAACCUGCCUCAAAGAGGGGGAUAGCCUCCCGAAAGGGAGAUUAAUACCGCAUAAUAUUAUUUCUUCGCAUGAAGAGAUAAUCAAAGGAGCAAUCCGCUUUGAGAUGGACCCGCGGCGCAUUAGCUAGUUGGUGAGGUAAUGGCUCACCAAGGCGACGAUGCGUAGCCGACCUGAGAGGGUGAUCGGCCACAUUGGAACUGAGAUACGGUCCAGACUCCUACGGGAGGAAGCAGUGGGGAAUAUUGCGCAAAGGGGGAAACCCUGACGCAGCAACGCCGCGUGGGUGAAGAAGGCCUUCGGGUUGUAAAGCUCUGUCUUCUGGGACGAUAAUGACGGUACCAGAGGAGGAAGCCACGGCUAACUACGUGCCAGCAGCAGCCGCGGUAA